rnacentral:rRNA from 1 species
AACCUGGUUGAUCCUGCCAGUAGUCAUAUGCUUGUCUCAAAGACUAAGCCAUGCAUGUCUAAGUAUAAGUAUUAUACAGCGAAACUGCGAAUGGCUCAUUAAAACAGCUAUAGUUUAUUUGACAAUCAAACUUACAUGGAUAACCGUAGUAAUUCUAGAGCUAAUACAAGCUGUACUGCCAACUUUUUGGAAGGCAGGUAUUUAUUAGAUAUUAACCAAUAUUCCGUAGGUCUAUCGUGGUGAGUCAUAAUAACUUUCGAAUCGCAAAGCCUUUGGCUGCGAUAAGUCAUUCAAGUUUCUGCCCCAUCAGCUUUAGAUGGUAGUGUAUUGGACUACCAUGGCUUUCACGGGUAACGGAGGAUUAGGGUUCGAUUCCGGAGAGGGAGCCUGAGAAACGGCUACCACAUCUAAGGAAGGCAGCAGGCGCGUAAAUUACCCAAUCCUGAUUCAGGGAGGUAGUGACAAGAAAUAACAAGCAGUAGCUUUUUGUUACUGAAUUGAAAUGAGCCGAAUUUACAACUCUUAGUGAGGAUCGAUUGGAGGGCAAGUCUGGUGCCAGCAGCCGCGGUAAUUCCAGCUCCAAUAGC